AUAAUGAUACUUCCGUAACUCGCGGCUCGGCCACAAUGAAGGCGGAGAGGUGAAAUUCCUAUGA
ncrna:unclassified sequences pemK RNA